rnacentral:rRNA from 1 species
GUGCCAGCAGCCGCGGUAAUACAGAGGGUGCAAGCGUUAAUCGGAUUUACUGGGCGUAAAGCGUGAGUAGGUGGCUCGCCAAGUCGAUUGUGAAAGCCCUGGGCUCAACCUGGGAAUUGCAGUCGAUACUGGUGAACUAGAGUUCGGUAGAGGGUGACGGAAUUCCCGGUGUAGCGGUGAAAUGCGUAGAUAUCGGGAGGAACAUCGAUGGCGAAGGCAAUCACCUGGGCCUGAACUGACACUGAGACACGAAAGCGUGGGUAGCAAACAGGAUUAGAUACCCUGGUAGUCC